rfam:Pseudomonas fulva 12-X, complete genome.
CUGCGACGCCGGGCCCCUCUGACAGCUACCCAGCUGCCAUGUCGGAGUUGCAGU